rnacentral:rRNA from 1 species
UACGUAGGGUGCGAGCGUUAAUCGGAAUUACUGGGCGUAAAGCGUGCGCAGGCGGUUUUGCAAGCCGGAUGUGAAAUCCCCGGGCUUAACCUGGGAAUGGCAUUUGGGACUGCAAGGCUGGAGUGCGGCAGAGGAGACUGGAAUUCCUGGUGUAGCAGUGAAAUGCGUAGAUAUCAGGAGGAACACCGAUGGCGAAGGCGGCUCUCUGGGACGGUACUGACGCUGAGACGCGAAAGCGUGGGGAGCGAACAGG